rnacentral:rRNA from 1 species
ACUCCUACGGGAGGCAGCAGUGGGGAAUUUUGCGCAAUGGGGGAAACCCUGACGCAGCAACGCCGCGUGAGUGGUGAAGGCCCUUGGGUCGUAAAGCUCUGACAGAGGGAAAGAAAUGUGGGUGGCUAAUAUCCAUUCCACUUGACGGUACCCUCAAAGGAAGCACCGGCUAACUCCGUGCCAGCAGCCGCGGUAAUACGGAGGGUGCGAGCGUUGUUCGGAUUUAUUGGGCGUAAAGCGCGUGUAGGCGGUUUUAUAAGUCUGAUGUGAAAGCCCCGGGCUCAACCUGGGAAGUGCAUUGGAUACUGUAAGACUUGAAUACGGGAGAGGGCAGUGGAAUUCCUGGUGUAGGAGUGAAAUCCGUAGAUAUCAGGAGGAACACCGGUGGCGAAGGCGGCUGCCUGGACCGAUAUUGACGCUGAGACGCGAAAGCGUGGGUAGCAAACAGGAUUAGAUACCCUGGUAGUCCACGCUGUAAACGAUGAGAACUAGGUGUCGCGGGUA